AUGAGUAUUCUCAAGAUCCAUGCCAGAGAAAUCUUUGACUCUGUCAGCAAUUCCACUGUUAAGGUUGAUCUUUAUACCUUUAUGGUUCGCUUCUGAUUGGCUGUGCCUAGUGGUGCUUCCACUGGUGUCUAUGAGAUAAUAGAACUCUAUGAGGAUAAGAAUCACUACACAGUGAGGGGUAGCUCAAAGGCUAUUAAGCCCAUCAAUGAAACUAUCGCACCUGCUCUGCUUAGCAAAAACAACUAAAUUUUUGUGGAACAAGAGAAAGACAAACUGAUGAUCAAGAUGGAGUGCAGUGAAAAUAAAUCAAAAUUUGGUGCAAAUGGCAUCAUGGGAGUGUCUGUGGCUGUUUGCAAUUCUGCUGCCAUGGGAAAUGAGGUACUCCUUUACCAUCGAAAUUGCUGACCUGGCUGGCAACCAGGAAGUCACCAUGCUGGUCCCAGCUUUUAAUGUGAUCAGUGGUGAUUCUCCUGCUGCCAACAAGCUGGCCAUGUAACAAUUCAUGAUCCUCCCUGUGGGGUAUCUUAUUUCUUGGAAGCAAUGCUCAUUGGAGCAGAGAUUUACCACAACCUGAAGAACAUCAUCAAGCAGAGAUAUUAGAAGAAUGAAGAUAAAACCAAUGUGGGUGAUAUGGGUGCAUUAGUACCUAAGAUCCUGAAGAAAGAAGACUAGAGCUGCUGAAGAUGGCUAGCUAUACCGACCAGGUUGUCAUUGGAAUGAAUGUGGCUGCCUCUGAGUUCUAUAGACCUGUCAAGAAUGAUCUGAACUUCAAGUCUUCUAAUAACUCCAGCAUAUCAUACUCAACUAGCUAGCACUAGGCAGAUCAAGAAUGAUGCCCCUUGCUGAUCUGACUUGGUCAGAUACAAUCAAAUCCUUAGAAUCAAUGAAGAGCUGGGCAGCAAGGCCAAAGUUGCCAACAGGUCCUUCAUGAAGUCCCUGACCAUGUAA
rnacentral:lncRNA from 1 species